GCUCGCCAGAGAAUUACAAGCAAAAAGCUUAAAACUCAAAGGACUUGACGGUGUUCCACAGCAACCUAGAGGAGCCUGUCCUAUAAUCGAUGACCCACGUUUCACCCGACCCCUCCUUGCAACCCCAGCCUAUAUACCGCCGUCGCCAGCCCGCCCUGUGAGGGUUAAUAUAGCCAGCACAACAAUCACAGACAUCAAAACGUCAGGUCAAGGUGUAGCUAAUGGGGGGGGUAGAGAUGGGCUACAUUUCCUACAUUAGGAAAUAUACUAUAAACACCAUGAAAAUCGGUGUUAAAAGGUGGAUUUAGCAGUAAGCUUGGAUUAGAUUACCCAAACUGAA
rnacentral:rRNA from 1 species